UACGUAGGGUACUAGCGUUGUUCGGAAUCACUGGGCGUAAAGCGCACGUAGGCGGAUGUGUCAGUCAGGGGUGAAAUCCCGGGGCUCAACCUCGGAACUGCCUUUGAUACAGCACGUCUCGAGUCCGGAAAAGGUGGGUGGAAUUCCUAGUGUAGAGGUGAAAUUCGUAGAUAUUAGGAAGAACACCGGUGGCGAAGGCGGCCCACUGGUCCGGUACUGACGCUGAGGUGCGAAAGCGUGGGGAGCAAACAGG
rnacentral:rRNA from 1 species